AAAAAAUCUCUCGUUACAUUAACUGAUAGUAAACCCCUCUUCUCAAUAAUCUCCGCCGUUGUCACAGUACCCUUCCUCUCGACGGAGACUACUUAGGAACCACGCGAGGAGACUACUAGUUUGAGUACGUGCGUGUUCAAGGUUGGUAAAGGUACUUGGCUACGAGUGAGGAGACGCUUAGAAUAACCACCUAGUCAAGAGACAAUUUCUAUUUCAGUUUAAGUUUAAGUUGGUUUUUGUUAUUCAUUUUGUGGGAAUUGGUUGUAGUUUUUAUGGGGCACCUUUUAGACCACUUAGUUAAUUUUGACCUUAAUGAUUUUAAAUUGUUUUGUUGCUUUGCAUUUAUUUUCUAUGGAGAAUAAAUGUAGCAGUGACACUCCCAAGGUUUGGACGAUUGUUUUAUGAUAUAAAAACAGGGUUUUUGAUUAUAUAAAA